AUUAAACGCUGGCGGCAGGCCUAACACAUGCAAGUCGAACGGUAACAGAAAGCAGCUUGCUGCUUUGCUGACGAGUGGCGGACGGGUGAGUAAUGUCUGGGAAACUGCCUGAUGGAGGGGGAUAACUACUGGAAACGGUAGCUAAUACCGCAUAACGUCGCAAGACCAAAGAGGGGGACCUUCGGGCCUCUUGCCAUCGGAUGUGCCCAGAUGGGAUUAGCUAGUAGGUGGGGUAACGGCUCACCUAGGCGACGAUCCCUAGCUGGUCUGAGAGGAUGACCAGCCACACUGGAACUGAGACACGGUCCAGACUCCUACGGGAGGCAGCAGUGGGGAAUAUUGCACAAUGGGCGCAAGCCUGAUGCAGCCAUGCCGCGUGUAUGAAGAAGGCCUUCGGGUUGUAAAGUACUUUCAGCGGGGAGGAAGGGAGUAAAGUUAAUACCUUUGCUCAUUGACGUUACCCGCAGAAGAAGCACCGGCUAACUCCGUG
rnacentral:rRNA from 1 species